GUACAUUAAGAAAAAGGUCAGAAGACAUUAUUUGCAUUGAGAAAACUUGUGAUGAGAUCAUCUUGGAUGAAGAUGUUUUACUUUGGGAGAAACCACCUGACUACCGGGUCAGCAAGAGACUAUGAGACCGACUCAGUCUGUUCUGGACCUAGAAUCCGUCAAGUUGAAAUAGUUCAUAGCAAAGUUAUCCAAUGGUGAUCUUGUUAUAGUGGUUGGAGGGGAGUCCUCUCAGGAGGGGAGAAGUUACGGUAAGAGACGAAAACACACGAGAGACCAGAUGAGAGUGUAAUUAUCCUGAUCACACCUUUCCUCCACUCUUCAUGUCAACAUGCCAAGUUCCUCCCUCCCAAACAUCCUCUAUUUUCCUUCUCCGUUUAUGCAGCUGUUGCCCGAACAGCUGGGACAGCGUCUUACCUCACAAAAGAUCCAUUAUGACCCUCCCCCUUUCACGCUACGUACCUUCAAAGCCGCACCUAAAGUAGACUGGUGAAUAACGCCACACAAGUAUCUGCAGAAGGAAAACACAGACUGCAAACUACAACUGAGCAUUUAGUGAAUAAUAUGAUAAAUGCUGCUGAACAAACUGUCUGUUCCAGACAUUCCUCACAUAAUCUUGCUGGGAAAUGCUAUUUGGCAUCGUCCAUGACACGUAGAGGUGUUUUCCCAAUCUUUCUCCACCCCAGUCUCUGGGGAGUGAAGCACACACGUCCUCCCUCCCUCGGAUGCACCCAGGCCAGAGCUGAUGUUGGAGAUCAAAACGCUCAUCGCUGGAGGACACGACAGCGCCUCCGACCAUCACAACCUCAACCCUUACCGCCAUGGAAACUCUUACUCUCGUCCACAUGGAAAGAUUCGGGAAAGAAAAAGCACCUGUGUGGCCUCUGUUGUGAUUAUUUGUCUGCCGGAAUGCAGUGGCACUGGUGUGACACUGAUGCAGGUUACAAGACAAUGUGAGAAUAAGCGGUAAUCCAUAACAAAAUCUCCAAGUUGGCUCAAGAACUACAGAAGCAGGAAGCGGAAAAGACGUGACGAGUGAACGUCCCCAGCAGUUUAUUGGGAAU
ensembl:lncRNA